UGGGCAACCUGCCCUGUACUGUGGAAUAAUCAUUGGAAACGAUGACUAAUACCGCAUGUGGUCCUCGGAAGGCAUCUUCUGAGGAAGAAAGGAUUUAUUCGGUACAGGAUGGGCCCGCAUCUGAUUAGCUAGUUGGUGAGAUAACAGCCCACCAAGGCGACGAUCAGUAGCCGGACUGAGAGGUUGACCGGCCACAUUGGGACUGAGAUACGGCCCAG
rnacentral:rRNA from 1 species